GUCAGCUUGUGCUGCAAGAGGAUGGUAUUGCAGUAUGAAUGAAGGUCAGCAUAGGAGCAGCUGCUGAUGGGAGGAAGGAAGUCCAGGCUAAUGAACUCUAAAGCAUCUCCCAGUUAGGUACCAGAGGAGGCAGGAAUGAUGAUGUAGAAGGAUAUGAGAAGCUCCCCAGCUUGAAGCCACAAAACCUGCAGAAACCUGCAGGAGAGCCGGAGCACGUGUCAAUGCCCAGGAGGAAAUCCAGCCUCAGUGUUUGAGCAGCACCUGGCCGUGGAGCACUGCGGCCCAAGAACAGAAUUAUUCUGCCUUUGCCAAGCUGGCAUCCCAAGAAGGACUUGUCUGUCCUUGUAAAAACCAGAGGGCUGGCUCAUCCAAAUGCUUGCUGAUUGCUUGGGAGCUCAAAUCUUUCUGGCCUCCAAGCUGGAGGCAGCCUGGAGGCAACAUCUCCUUGGUCUGAUUGUGCAGUGUCUGAGCGAGAGGGUGACCCAACCUGGCUGCACAAGAGUCAUCUUCAUUUCUGUUAUUUUGCUUCAAACAAGCCCCCUGGGUGACCCUGGUGUUGGUUUCCUAAAAUUUGCAUCUGGGAGGCGUCCAUUUCCUUUGCUUGUGAUGAAAGCACAGAAGUGAUGGGGGCACUCGCCAAGGUCACAAUCAUUGCCAGGGUGGGAGUGUUUGUCCCACAGCUGGUGAGCAAAGCUGGUGCUCUGGAGAGCGUGCUGCACACACAGACCGAGCUCUGGGCCUUCCUUGGAAGAGAUCACCCCGUGAGAGCCCGUCAGAAGCACCGCUGUGGUGUGUACAUGACCUGGACGCAGCUUAGACUGACCAGGCUGAACAGGGUUUCUUUCCAAAAGGAGAUUUUGGGAAUCAAGGCAGUCCAAGAAAGAGGGAAGCCAGCUCUUUCCAAGAGUGGGGAAGUCCCUGUGGAGAGAACCCCAAGAACUUGAGCUUCCUCUGAGACAUUCCCCACCAUGUCUCAGCAAGGAGACAACCGCUAUUCUGACUUCUGCUCUCCAUGUGGGAAGAAGAAGCGCAGUGCGAUUCCCUGCAUUUGGGAACAGCAGCCAGCAGGCUGUCAGAAUGCCAGCUGCGCCUUUCAGCGUGCAAAGGGACGCGAUGGGGAUGGACCAUCUUUACCGCCACGCAAAAGGAUGGAGUCUGCAUGUCUGUGGAACGGUGCUGGGCAAGGGGGAAAACGGAAAGCCUCUGCAGAAACUGAUGCAAGUGGCCUUCCAGAGAGGUGCAGCCUUGCAGAAAGGCAGGGGAGGAGCACGGAGUGUGCCGUAGCUCCAAAGAGAGAGAGAGGUGCUGAACCAAAUGGCAAAAUCUAUGUGAAAACGGUGGAAGAAGUCUGUUCUGGGGGAGCUCGUCUCCAGGUUGGAGGGCUUCCUGGAAGAGCAGGUCCCAGCUCAGGGAGAAGACCUUCCCCUGCAGUCGACAUCUACUCUUUCUCCAAGACUCUGGCUGGAAGGAAGCGCAAGGGCUUGGAAAAAGAGGAACAAAAAGCAGAGCUGUUGCCUGCCAAGAAACAAGUAAAGGGGGGGCGCAGUGGGGAGAAGGCUCAGAGGGUGCAUCAGAGCAGAGGCGGUGUGCCAGCUCCACCAGCGCACCCUGGGCCUGCCCGAACGCCAAGUAAGCAGUUACAGACCUCAAAGCUAAGAGCAAGAAGAAGACGACAACAAAAAGAGAGGAGAGCAGAAAUGAAGAAGGCUUCUCUCAGAGCUGCUGCUGCAUGUGCAGAGAGUGAGUAGCUGUCUGGGACAUGGUAGCCUCCUGUGUGCAACAACAGCUCCUGCUGUGCAAGGUGGGUCAGCAUCCACCUCCCGUUUGUCUGUUUGGAGGGGUGGAGUCCCUAUGAAGUACCAAUGGGCCUCCCACAGGUGCAGUACCACUUGUGGCAGGCAGUGUUGUAUCUCAGGGCUGAUCCUGGUUGCUGGAAGCCUCUGGAUUCCUUGAGGCAGCUUCUGCCCGGACUGUUGUGCUGCGUCUGGAGGGCAGUGGGAGGGAGAGGGUUGGGCAGCUCCUUCCUAAAUCUCUCCCAUAUGCCCUGGUCUGCACCUCUGAACAGUGGCAGAGGACACGGCAAGACCCAAAGCACAGUUCCUGCACAGGGCAACCUCCAGUCCCUCCCCCAGCAUUAACCCUUUGGCCCUUCCAUUCUCUUCCACUUGCAGGGGGUCUGAAUUCCCACCUUUGGUUCCUUUGACAUCUUCUCCAAACGGAUGAAGGCUGGGGACAGGACUCUGAUUGUGCAGCGGCCUGUGUUUCACCUGGCCAGGAACCUUGUCAGCAUCCACAGUCUGACAGAUGAUGAGGAAUUUCUGCCAGGUAGGAGGGGAAUUAAACACCUGCUGGCUGCACAGACAGGGCAAACAGGACGAUUGACUCCAUUGUCAAAAGCAAACUGCCCCCUCCGUGGAGCCAGUCCAAAUACAGUGCCAUCCUGGGUGGCAAAUGCAAUGAGUAGCACUCAGAAGCAUGGGCAGAAGGGCUGUUAUAUAUAUGACUGACUCCAACUCACUGAUGUGAUUUUCCAGGCCAUAAGGAGGCGGAGCCCCUCAAGUACGCCGAGGUGGCCACGGCUGCGUCUUUGUGCCGACAGAGAGGGGAGGCCUGCAUAUAUGGCACCACAUCUCUCAUCUCCUGCUGCCUGAGGAAGGGGGAGAAUGUUGCCUUUG
rnacentral:lncRNA from 1 species